AAGUCGUAACAAGGUUUCCGUAGGUGAACCUGCGGAAGGAUCAUUAUAGAAAAACCAAAAGGGAAUGGAGGAGGAGAAAAUGGAGUAGAUGCUGGAGCAAGGGGGUGUAACCUCUCUAAGUGUGGUCCAUUUCUGAGCGCAAGAUGCGCUGGCAUGGUCUCUAAGGAGGGCCGUGCUGGGCUGGCUCAGAAAGUUUGUCCACCGAGCCGAGAGCUAGCAUGUGUCCUGGAGUAGCAGCAAUGCAUUGCAGGUGAUCUCUCUCUAGGACCCCUCUCAUCUCGGGAGUACCUUUGUGGCAUCAUGUGCGCUCAUAUAUUUCCCCCUCCUUCUCACUCUCUUCCAACCCACCCCAUUGUGAACCACCGCGCGAAAGUCAGUAAAGGGGUACACCCUCCGGGAAGCCUCCGAAAGCUUUGCGAAACCUACAUACCCGUAUGCAAGUCUCAGAAUGUACGUGUUGCGCUCCGUCGCAAACAAAAAUACAACUUUCAGCAACGGAUCUCUUGGCUCUC
rnacentral:misc_RNA from 1 species